ACAUUGCAAGUCGAGCGCACUCUUUUAGAGUGAGCGGCAAACGGGUGAGUAACGCGUGGGGAAUCUACCCCUCUCUACGGAAUAACACAGAGAAAUUUGUGCUAAUACCGUAUAACGUCCCGUUUUGGGAGAAAGAUUUAUCGGAGAUGGAUGAGCCCGCGUUGGAUUAGCUAGUUGGUGAGGUAACGGCCCACCAAGCGACGAUCCAUAGCUGGUCUGAGAGGAUGACCAGCCACACUGGAACUGAGACACGGUCCAG
rnacentral:rRNA from 1 species